rnacentral:lncRNA from 1 species
CUGAUCCAUAUGAAUUUCUCUUAUUAAGAAAAAUAAAGCAUCCAGGAUUCAAUGAAGAACUGUCUAUCACCUUGCUAAUCAUUCAGAAACAUGUUGCAGGCUUAAGCCAUUUUCGAUAUAGAUAUUGAAACAAUUACUUGCUAAGAGCAAACUUGAAGGUAUGGAUAAGGCCCUGAGUCAUCUUCCUGAACUGAAUGAUAGUUAAGCU